rnacentral:rRNA from 1 species
CUACGGGUCGCAGCAGUCGAGAAUCUUCCGCAAUGGACGAAAGUCUGACGGAGCGACGCCGCGUGCGGGAUGAAGGCCUUCGGGUUGUGAACCGCUGUCAGUGGGGAGGAAAUGCAUCAGGGUUCUCCCUGGUGUUUGACCGAUCCGCAGAGGAAGCGCAGGCUAAGUUCGUGCCAGCAGCCGCGGUAACACGAACUGCGCGAACGUUAUUCGGAAUCACUGGGCUUAAAGAGUCCGUAGGCGGCCUUUCAAGUCGGGUGUGAAAUCCCUCGGCUCAACCGAGGAAUUGCGCCUGAUUCUGUUGGGCUUGAGGGGGAUAGGGGUGAGCGGAACUGAUGGUGGAGCGGUGAAAUGCGUUGAUAUCAUCAGGAACACCGGUGGCGAAGGCGGCUCACUGGAUCUCUUCUGACGCUGAGGAACGAAAGCUAGGGGAGCGAACGGGAUUAGAUACCCGGGUAGUC